rnacentral:lncRNA from 1 species
CAAGGCCUCAUGCAUGCUAGGCAAGUGCUCUGCCACUGAACUACAUUCCCAGUUCAGGUCAGUUUAUUUUUAAAAAAUCUUCAUAAAUCUGUAAAAGCUGUUUGCAGAUGUUACAGGUGUCAGAUAAAUUGCUUUCUUAGGGGCCACAUGUUACACAGGUAUCUUGUAAUGUUCAGCUUCUGUUUGCCCUCGAAAUAGUUGAAAGUAAACAUGACUAAGUUUAAGUGGCAAAAUAAUUAAGUUGGUGUUAGUCAUAAUCAUGGCUUUUCUUUAUUCUUUUCUCCACCUCUCAAAUGGCUUUCUUUUUUAAUCAAAACUUGAGACAGUCUCAUGUCAGUUAUCUAAAGUAAGCAGUUGUGUUACAGUCAGUAACUUUUUGAUGGAUUUUUAAAAAAUCCAUUUGCUUCAUAGACACUUUUACUCUUUAUGCCAAAUUUAUGUCCCUUUCUUUCAUACAUACCUCCACAUUGCUGCCAGAGUGAGCUGUUUAAAUGGUCAGCUGAUAAUGUUACUCUUCAGAAUCUUUCAGUGGUUUCUCAUUACUGAAUAGAUAAAAUGGAAACUCCUUAGCAAACUAUGUAAGGUCCUUCAUAGUCAUUUCCCUGCUUCCUCUUUAGACUCAUUUCGUGUCAUUUUAUCUUCAGAGCUGUUCCUCAGUAAUUCUGAAUUACCUGUGCUUCCUUCAAAAUAUAAUGUUCUCUUACAUUUUCAUAAUUUUUUAUAUGAAGUCCUCUUUUCGUGAACCUUUCCUCUCUUCUCCUUUGUUCUCUGGGCAUUUUUUUCUCAACAAUUAUGGGUUGGACCAAAUAGUUAACUUUUUAGUGAAGAAGGUUUGCUUACUCCCUGAGUUGGGCUUGGACAUGUUAUCCUCUACCUUUGCAUCUGGUGAUUUUCAACACCAGGAUAGUUAGUAUAUAGUAGUACUCAUUAUUUAUUUAUUGAGUAAAGAUUAUUGACAGUUAUAUCAGUUAUGCCAUUGAAACCUCAUCUCUCAUUGAAUUGGAGAAAUUCUAGGCAUUAGGAGAUGGAUUUAGAGAAAUAUGCAUAUAUGCAUUUAUCUUUGUAUAGGUGUGUGUAUAUACCAUCUAAAAUAUUAUUCAGAGUAACUCCUAGACUGUAAUUAACAAUGACCCUAAAAAUAAAUCAGGUUUUGUUCUUUUUUAUGUUUUCUGUGAUGUUAAGAGGAAGAUUAAAAGGUUCUCUGCGUCACAACCAACAAUAAAAAAUUAAAAAAAGAAAAAAGAAAAAAAAAAAAGGUUCUCUGCGUGAACUUUAGCCUAAUUAUUUUCUUUGUAUAUUGCAGGGUUGGCAAACCAUGGGCCACAUUCAGUCCAUUAUCUGUUUUGGUAUGGCCUGCAAGUUAAGACUGGUUUUUACAUUUUUCAAUGAAAAACAAAAUCAAAACACACCAGACACUAGUAUGGCAAUAUGUAAAUCAAUGGAUGUGUAACUGAUGUGAUUCUGCAAUCUGUAUAUGGGGUAAAAAUGGGAGCUCAUAACCCACUUGAAUCAAAGUGUGAAAUAUGAUAUAUCAAGAACUAUGUAAUGUUUUGAACAGCCAACAAUAAAAAAUUAAAAAAAAAAAAAAAAAAGAAUACUGGAGCUGGGGGUGUGGUUCAGUGGUGGAGGGCCUGCCUGGUAUAUGCGAGGCACUGGGUUUGAUCCUCAGCACCACAUAAAAAUAAAUAAAUAAAUAAAAUAAAGGUAUUCUGUCCAUCUACAACUAAAAUUUGUGUCAUGUGAAAAUUACAGGAAAUUCAGGUUUCUGUGUGAAACACACACAGUUUUAUUGGAACCUAGCCAUGCUCAUUUGUUUAUAUAUUGACUGUGGCUGUUUGGGGGUACAACAGCAGACUUGAGUAGUUGCCAUAGAGACCAUAUGGCCUGCAAAGCCUAAAUAUUUACUAUUUGGCUCUUUACAGAAAAAGUUUGCUGGUUCUUGGUCUAUUACACAGUCUGUGCUCAUUAAGUACUUAUUGAAUAUUAUGAGCUGUGCUACACCUUGCCCUUUGAAGGCUUUUGCAGGGAAUAAUUGCAUUUAUUUAUUAAGAGAAAAUUGGUCACCUUGCCUUAGUAUAGAUUUAUCUGACAGACCCCUAUUGAGCCCCGUGAUGAUACAAUACUCUUAUUAUGUCUACCUCUGAAGAAUUCAGUUUCUGACAAAGUGUGUUAUUAGAUUCUAUUCCUUUUUCAAAGAAGUAUCCCAUGUAAGAGGUUUGGAGCACAGCAUGUAAGAACAUUUUUCUUUAGUCAAAUUUCAGUCUAUCACGUAUUUUGCACAAAAAACGUUGUUGUUAUACUUUUAUAUACCUGGAUUUUGUAUAUUAGCUUGUUAAACAGAUACUAUGUGUAAAGUAUGAGUUGUUGGAGUACUUAUGUUGGAAAAAUUGGGGGAUUUUUAUGGAGUAUAUUAACAUAUUCACUCACUUGAUAUUUAUUGACCACCUAUUAGGUACAAAUUUUGUUGUAUUUGACUUGAGGGUGAAAAUUUUCUUCCAUAAAUAAAAGCUAAAAUUGAAUUCAGAA